AGACAGUGAGUCGGCCCAUACCUGCUGUGUGAAAGAAUCCAAACCUGGGGCCGGGCGCGGUGGCUCACACCUGUAAUCCCAGCACUUCGGCAGGCCAAGAUUAGGCGGAUCACCUGAGGUCAGGAGUUCGAGACCAGCCUGGCCAACAAUGGUGAAACCCCAUUUCUACUAAAAAUACAAAAAAUUAGCUGGGCAUGGUGGCGGGCGCCUGUAAUCCCAGCUACUCAGGAGGCUGAGGCAGGAGAAUCACUUGAACCUGGGAGGCGGAGGUUGCAGUGAGUCGAGAUAGCGCCACUGCACUCCAGCCUGGGCAACAAGAGCGAAACUCUGUCUCAAAAAAAAAAAAAAAGAAAAAAAAAAGAAAUAAUAAAAAAAGAAGAAUCCAAACCUGCCCAGAGAGAGGCCUGGCUUUUGCCCUCCGCCCUCGGGAAGUCAUCUCUGAGCCCUUGGUGUCUCGCGCAUGAGGAGGGUCUGACUGCCUGGGGCCCUCAGGCCAGCCCGACAGCAAGAUGGAUUUGGGGUGGAGUUUGGGCCAGGUGGUAUCCUUGAGCUUCCGGGGCUGGAGGCUGAGGUCAGCCACACAGAUCGGGGAGGAGUCCCCAGUAAGAACCCGGGACACCAAGAUCUGAGGAGGGUCCCUGGCUGGCAACACUCCCUGCGUGCCGGGAGGAGUGAAGGGAGAGGACAGCUGAUAACUGGUCUCCGUGGAGCCUUCCGGGCCCUCUUCCUGGCUGCUUCCAGCGCGUCCUUCUCUGUGAUAAGCCGUGACUGUGAACAUGGCUGUGAGUCCUUCUAGAGAACUCGCAAGUAUGCCAAGGUCUUGGGGGCCCUACUGACUUGCAGCUGGUGUUGGAUGGAGCCCCACAUGGACUGUCCCUCCUUGCUGCGCCAUGGCCUCCCCACCGUGGGUCACACUGGUUUUCGGGGGCUAAGCAGCGGUUUUCCCUCCGCUUCCUCCUGGCUUCCCCGCUCCCCUGCCUCCUCCCCUCCCCCGUCGCAGCCCCGUCAGGCUCACCCAGAACUCUUCCAGCAGGGCCACCGCCUCCUCCCAGCUUAGCGGCUGACGGCUGCACACCCAGGCCUGCGUGUCGGCUGGCAGCGCGCUCAGAAACUGCUCCAGCACCAGCAGCUCCAGCAUCUGCUCCUUGGUGUGCACCUCGGGCCGCAGCCGGUCCCGGCACAGGGCGCGUAGCAGCCCCAGCGCCUCGUGCGGGCCCGGCGCCUCGCCCAGGUGGAAGCGGCGGAAGCGGUGCCACGAGGAGCCCAGCGCCAGGCCCUCGGCCUCCUGCUUCAGCGGCACCGUCAGCUCCAUGGGGCCUCCUGGACGGCAGCGCCUGCCCCGCGUGGCCCAGGGUGCAAAGAGGUCUCUGUGAGGGGCGGCGCUCACUCGGGCGGUGAGGAAAGGGUGUCUGUCUCGUGGGAUCCCACGGAGUCAAGUGCCGGCUCUGCCCCUCGUUGGGCCCCUUCCGCGGCUUCUGUACCUCAGUCCUGCAGCUCCUCCCGCAGCCUGUCCUACAGCACAAAGGCUCUGGAGCAAAUUCCAGCUCUGCCUCCCACCAGCUCUGUGUCCUUGGACAAGGUACAAGGCACCUUUUGUAAUACACUGUCUCUCCAUGUCCUUGGCUCACUCUCUCAGGCGAGGCCUCCCAAGCCUCUUUACCUCCGCGCACAUGUGCACAGAGCUCACCGGAACUCCUCUUACACAUUUUUGAUUAUUCGUUGCUGGUACCUAGAAAUACUAUUUUUGUGUAUUGAUCCUUCUAGCCAGUGACUUUGCAGAAUUUACUUAUUAAUUCUAGUAGCUUUACUUUAGAUGACUUAGGGUUUUCCAUGUAUACGAUCAUGUCUUCUGGGAAUAAAGGCAGCAUUAUAUCCUCCUUACCAAUUUCAAUGCCUUUUCUCUCCCUUGCCUUGCUGCAUUGGCUGGUGUCUCCAAUAGAGUGUCGAAAAGAAGUGCCGAGGGUAGACAUUCUUGCACAGUUCCCAAUUUUAGAAAGAAAGCAUUCGGGCUUUCACCAUCAUUAAGUGUGGUGUCAACCUUGAGUUUGUCACUUACACCCUUUAUGAGGCUGAGGAAAUUCCCUUCUGUUCCUAAAAUGCUCAGUUUUUAUUACAAAUGGGUAUUAAAUUCUGUCAAGGGCCGGGCGCAGUGGCUUACGCCUGUAAUCCCAGCAUUUUGAGAGGCCUAGGUGGGCGGAGUUUGAGACCAGCCUGGCCAACAUAGUGAAACCCCGUCUCUACUAAAAAUUCAAAAAAAAAAAAAAAAAAAAAAAAAAAAGCCAGGCGUGGUGGCACUGGCCUGUACUCCCAGCUACUUGGGAGGCUGAGGCAGGAGAAUCUCUUGAACCCAGGAGGCGGAGGUUGUGGUGAGCGGAUAUUGAGGCAUUGCACUCCAGCCUGGGCAACAGAGUGAGACUCGAUCUAAAAAAAAAAAAAAAAUUCUGUCAAAUGCUUUUUCUAUAUCUGUUGAGAUGAUAUGAUGGUAUUGACAGGGGUUUUCCCCUUCAUUCUGUUAAUAUGGUGAAUUACAUUGAUAUUAAAAUAUUAAACCAAUCUUGUAAGUCAGGGAAAAUUGACACUUGGUUAUGGUUAUAUAUAUAUAUAUCUUACUGGAUUUGAUUUGUUAAAAUUAAAAACUUUUCUUUUUCGAAACCACUUUAUUGGCCUGGUGCAGUGGUGCACGUCUGUAAUCACAGGACUUUGGGAGGCUGAGUUGGAGACCAACAUGGACAACAUGACGAAACUCUGUCUCCACUAAAAAUACAAAAAUUAGCUGGGGGUGGUGGUGCACGCCUGUAGUCCCAGCUACUCAGGAGGCUGAGGUGGAAGUCACUUGAGCCCAGGAGGUCAAAGCUGCAGUGAGCUAAGAUCCCACCAGUGUACCCCAGCCUGGGAGACAGAGCAAGACCUUAUCUCAAAACAAACAAACAAAAAACAAAGCAACAACAACAACAAAAAAGCUGCUGCAGUGGCUCACGUCUGUAAUCCCAACACUUUGGGAGCGUGGGGGGGGGCGGGGGGGGUGGAUCACCUGAGGUCAGGAGUUCGAGACCAGCCUGGCCAACAUGGUGAAACUCUGUCUAUACUGAAAAUACAGAAUUAGCCAGGUGUGGUGGCACACACAUGUAGUCCCAGGUACUCGGGAGGCUGAGACAGGAGAAUCUCUUGAACCCAGGAGGUGGAGACUGCAGUGAGCUGAGAUUCCACCACUGCACUCCAGCCUGGGCAAGACAGAGCAAGACUCUGUCUCAAAAACAAAACACAUACACACACACACACACACACACACACACACACAACCAGAUUAUUUUAUUGAGAUAGAAUUCAUAUGCCAUACAAUUCAAUUCACCCACUUAAAGUGUACAAUUAUUUUAGUAUAUCGUCAGAUACACACAACUAUCACCACAAUGAUUUUUAGAACAUUUUCAUCACCUCAUGAAGAAAUCCUAUACUUUUCUCUUUAUUUUGAGACAGAGUUUGGCUCUUGUUGGCCGGGCUGGAGGGCUGGGAUUACAGGCGUGAGCCACCACCGCACCUGGCCAGAAAUCCUAUACUCUUUAGCUGUCACUGUUGACCCUCUCUCCCCGAGGCAUAAACAUCCACUAAUCUACCUUAUCUUCAGAGUUUACUGUAGAGAUUUUAUUAAAUGAAAUAAUAUAAAAUGUUAUCUUUGCGACUGGCUUUUUUCCCUUAGCAUGAUGUUUUCAAGGCUCAUCUGUGUUGUGGUAUACAGCAGUACUUCAUUUCUUUCUCGAUUUGAAUAAUGUUCCAUUGUAUGAUCUACCACAUACUGUUCAUCCAUUCAUCAGCUGAUGGGCAUUUAGGCUGUUUUCACCUUUUAUCUAUUGUGAAUAAUGCCAUUAUGAACAUUCCUAUACAAGUUUUUGUGUGUACAUGUGUUUUUAUUACCUUGGGGGUAUGUAUCUGGGAAUGAAUUGCUGGGUCAUAUGGAAACUCUGUAUUUAAUCAAUGAGAGAACUGCCAGAUUGUUUUCCAAAGUGACUGCACCAAUUUAUAUUCCCAUCAGUCAUAUAUGAGGGUCUGAUUUUUGUUUUCUCACCAACACGUACCUUUUUUUUUGACACAGGGUCUCACUCUGUUGCUCAGGCUAGACUGCAGUGACAUGAUCAUGGCUCACUGCAGCCUCAGCCUUCCUGGGCUCAGGUGAUCCUCCCACCUCAGCUUCCUGAGUAGCUGGGACUUCAGGCACAUGCUACCACACCCAGCUAAUUUUUUAACAUGGUUUAGAGUUAACUGUUUACUUCCUGGGAGUGGGGAAAUUUUCUCUUUAUCAAAAGUUGGCCCUAAUAUUCUAAGAGUUAUAGGUAAAUGUGAAUCAAUAUGUCAGUUCCCCAUCUCCCCGCUCAUCUUUCUUAACUUUGUAGCUUAAUGACAUGAAUAUACAGAGCGAACAGACUUUGGUCUAAAUAUCAAAGUUUAUUGAAAUAAAAUAUAAUCUAUAAUAAAAAAUACUACAGGUGUUAUUCACUGGUUACAGUUUUAAGUAUAUUAACAAAAACAGCCAACAUUUUAACCCAACAAUGACACUAUCUUUGUGGUACAAUAACAAACAUGAAAGUAAAUGUUGAAUAAUACUGAAUAAUUCUGUCAGAAAUAUUUUAUACUUUACCAUCUAUGUAUGCCUUUUAAGGAAUAUCCUCCCAAAGUGAAAGUUUUGAAACUGAUGACAUUGUUUUUAAGAAUUAAGUAGUUUUAAAAUAAUUAGUAUUUAAAACAAAUUUAUUUCACAGAAAUUCAGUUCAACCCUAAGCUGGGUAGAUGGUUUUAGGUAUCUUUAUGCAAAAAAUGUAUUUCAAUGCUCUUUCCUAUGAAUCUCUAGGGUUGUUAUUAUUCCUCAAUUGAAAUUAAAGCUGGUCAUAAAGCAAAACAGAUGAAUUAUUUCAGAAGUAAAAUGGGUAUUAAGAUAAAAAAUGAAAGGAGGAGGAAAAAAUAGGCACUCAUACGUAAUCUAUAUAUUAAAACGCUUUGAGAACUCAGUAGCCAGUCUUGGCCUGGCACAAAGAGAUCUUUGAUAUGUCACAGCAAAUUGACCCAAUUAGUCCAACAAUAAAGUGGAGAAAGAAAACUUGUUUCUCUUCCUUGCUAUAUUUCAAGAUAAUUUUCUCUGUAGUCAUUAUACCAUUCCACUUGCUACUCCUCAAAAUAUGUGCCUCAAUCCAAUUAUUCUGCACAAUUCAAGGAAAAGAUUCACACGCACUAGCUUUAGGAAAUGACUUUCAGGGUACCUCUGAAGUUUCACAAGCAAACAUGAUUCCUUUUGCUGACUGUUUUGUAGCAUUCACACACCAAUCUCCUGUUAUACUGUCCUACUUGUAAUGUGUGAAUCUGUAACAAGCUGUCAUUUAUUAAGCAAGAUAGUCUUUUAACAAAAACCUCUGAGGGCUUUUCAAAACCUCAUCUUUAAAAAUCUGUAAAACAAAGAUACCCUAUGUACCCUGAAAAAACUGCUUAUUUCACAUAUGUGAAAAACAAUAAUAAAAAUUCUGACAAAAUUGAGAGACAUACAAGACAGGUCUUCAAGGAUUAAAUACUGUUUGUCUUAAAACAUGUUGCAAUUAUGUUCACAAUGUAAGGUUCAUUAAAAAUUUUUAAAAAACACAUUGCAUUAGUUAGAACUGCUUUGUAAGGUAUUUCAGUUACAAGGCCUAUUUUGACAGAUCACUGAUUUGAGAACUUAAAUGGGAAUUUCAGUUUCUUGACUUUUUUUUUUUUUUUUUUUUGAGAUAUAAGAGUCUCGCUCAGUCGCCCAGGCUGGAGUGCAGUGGGGCAAUCUUGGCUCACUGCAACCUC
rnacentral:lncRNA from 1 species